rnacentral:lncRNA from 1 species
UCGCAUUCCAUAAAGUUGAAGCAUAAAUUAAUACAAAUAAAUAAAAUCCAGAAACAAAUAUCAAUAUAAUUUUAUUAAUAAGGUAAAUGCAUGAUGAAUCAUACAAUUUCAUACCCAGCCAACUUUUGUAGUGGCGUUUAUUGUAAUUUUGAAAUAACGUGUUGUUCACUUGACUUUCUUUAUUAUACAUACAUGUAAAUUAAACAACACAAAAUCAAACUGCAUAAUGGGAUGUGUAGAAGAGCUUGUCUCCGAUGCACACUAACCCUCCGUGCUACAUACAGGAAUAGCAAGUGCAACAGAGUAUCGACAAGCGCAACAAACCCAACAGUCGUUGCAAUUAACGCGAGAAUUACAAGAUCUAAAACAAGUGUUGAGUUGUGGGAGUAGUCUCUUCCUCAUUCCUAAUAGAUUAUGAUCAACAUCCAGUGCAGCUCUGACUGUUGUGUUUGUCAAAAAGGGCACAUGUGCUACAAAUAUUCGUUAUACAGGGAAUUAGAUGUAAAUUCAUGCUUUAAUAUGAAAGAUAUACACAGUCAUGUAUAUAUAAAACUACAUACAUAAUACAAGAUGUAGAUAAUAUAUAAUUAAAAUUUACACUUAAACGUAAGCGGUACUUACUAGUUGCCACCAUGACGAGAAUAGCGAGCACAAAAGAAUUCUUUAGCAACAUCAUUGUGUUAUAAAAGUUUAUGAGUGGCUAAUUACUUCUAAAAUGUCGUAAUUUAUAGACCUUCUUGAGAUCAAACUACAUCUCUGGCAUGUGCCGUACUUGCUUCGUUUUUUGCUUUUCUAGAUUAUUUAUUAUC